rnacentral:ncRNA from 1 species
AAUAUAUUUUAUUUUAGUUUAAAAGUUUAUUAAUAAAUUAAAUGUAUAUAAUGUAUAACUUUAAUAACUUAAAUAUUAACAUUUAAUAUUAGUUUAUUAAAGCAAUUUAAAACUAGAAGAUAAUUUAAAAAUUGACAAAUUAAGUGCCAGCAGUAGCGGUUAAACUUAAGAUUUACAAACUCAAUUUCUACUUUAACUAUAUUAAGUUAGAAUAAAAAAUUACAGUCUAAGAGUUUAACCUUUUAUAGUAUAACUGUAAAUUUAAAUUAUUAUAAUAAAUAGUUUAUAAUUUUAUAAAAAACUAGGAUUAGAUACCCUAUUAUUAAAAUAAAAGUUUAACUAAAGUAGUAAAAGUUAAUUUCUUCAAACUUAAAAAAUUUGGCGGUAUUUUAAUCAAAUUAGAGGAAUCUGUUUUUUAAUCGAUAAUCCACGAGAUACACUACUUAAGAUUUAAAAAUUUAUAUAUCGCUGUUUUAAUAUAAAUUAUACACAAAAUUAUCUAUAAAAAAGUCUAUUAGUUAAUAAAUCAAGUCAACACAUAAUUUAUACUUAAGACUUAAAUGGAUUACAUUUAUUAAAAAUUAAUAGAUCUAUUAAAUUAAAACUAUUAGUAAAAAGGAUUUAAAACUAAAUUUUUUAAAUUCUUAAAAUUUGAAUAAGAAAUAAAAUAUGUACAAAUUGCCCGUCACUCUUUCUAUAAAAAGAUAAGUCGUAACAAAGUAAAUUUACUGGAAAGUGAAUUUAGAAA